ACUGCAAGGGCAAAAGGAGGGCUGUGAGGUGCAGGAGGAUCCCAGUGCCACCUCCUGAGGUGCCCAGCCCUCCUUCCCUCCACCAGCACCACUCUCCCAAAAUUAAAUUUUUACUUUGGGAAGGACUGAAAAGGGAGAUUUCAGGGAAGAGCUCUCUCAGCCUUCAAACUUGGUACUACACGUGCUGCUCUGGCUGGAAAGUUUUUGGGAUCUGUCUUUUGGGCAUGACUCAAGAGGACUUCAAGUCCCCUUGUUCUAUCCCAAAUCCUGUUGAGAAAUCCAAGCGAGACACAGAUGAAGCAGUUUCCAUUUCUGAAGAUGCUCUUUUGGAUGCCAAAUAAGAAGUUCAUCUCUUUGUGGAAUCUCCCUUCAUUUAGAAAUCAGAAUGAGAGGGGUUGUUCCUGCACAACCUGCUCCACUGAGAAGUGGGGGUAACUGGGGGAAUACUGAGUUCCCUCUGAUUUUUCCCAGUCCCUGCUACCCCCAGGAGCACAUUUCUUUGGUUAAUGCCUCCCACUGACACACUGCAGCACCAGCAGCACCAGUACCGCUAGCGUUUGCAGAUAAUGGCAUUAAAACUUUAACAAAAUGUUCCAGGGGGUUUCUCCAGUUUGUUGGUGCUUCGGCAGCAUCUGCUGCACCAGUGCAGGGUUUCCUGCUUUUGCAGGGGUUGUUCCACUGCGAAAGGAUCCAGGUGUGCGUCAAAUCUGUGCUUCACUGGCAGAUGUGGUCAUUUCUGAAAAGGAGCCUGCCAAGAGCCACACGAUUGUUUGCUGAGCUGGAAAGAGUCACCUCCAAGCACAUUAAUCUGAGUCAUUUGUUUCUUCCCAAACAUGAUGCUGCCUCCUCAGAGCAAGGGACCAGUUUGUUUCCUGCUGUGGUUGCUGCAGCAGCAGAGUAGCAACUGGUACCGUUUUUGGGAACAACUUGUGCAUUGUUAAGGCCCCAGCAGCCCUGGGGAUGUAGCUGAGGUCUCAGGGGCCAGGCACAGCAGAAACCUUCAACAGAAGAUUCACUGGCUUCAAAGAUGUGAUACAUGACAGCAGCAGACAGGACAAAGAAAUCAAAGCUCUCUGGCCCCAAAGAGAUGUUCUGCUUUGUGCUUGGCUUUCAGCCUUUGUAGAAACCAUCCUUUCUCUAACUCAAAGUUAAGUCUGAAGCUCCUGAGCUGCUGCAGAUACAACAGAGCCUAAUAAAGUCCAGAAGCCAAGGGCUGGGCCAGGGCAGCCCCAUAAGGAAUACCUCACCCAACUCCUGAUAGGGAGUCAGACUUUAUCCCAUCCCUCUCUCCCUUCCAAAGUAACGACAGCUGCUGGCCCUGAGCUGGAUGACUGGAAACCAGGGGUCUGAGAGCUGCAAAAAGGAACUAAAAAAAGCCAACAAGCCAAAGGCAUCAGGCCUGAAAACUCCUCCUGGAAUUCCAGUGCUGCUUUUACUACUGACAUAGAAAAGUGAGUGUUGCAAUUCUCACACCUGCUGAGAUGUCAAAGAUCUGAAUUGGGAAUAUUUUUGGAAGAUGAUGAAAAGCUGGAACAGCAGCAGGCAGAGGAGGAAGCCUGAAUGAUGUACAGUGAUGUGACCCAACAGCAGUGCAAGGGACCUGGGACAAGCCAUCCUUGAGCUGACCAUGCCCAGCCAUUUUGGAGCUCAGGCAACACCUUCCUGGGCUGGCAAGAGCCUGCUGCAGAUAUGAGGGGGAGAUAAAUACAUCCUUGAAAAGUCUUUAUCUCUACUCAGAGAGUGUGUGCCACUGGUAUUGCUGGGGGUGGUUAUAAGGCCAUGAGAAUCAAGUGCACUGCCAUGAUUUUAGGGCAGUGGAUGGGCUGGGAUUGCACCAGGAGGGCUGAGAGGAGAAAACCACCAGUUUGGUCCUUCAGAUGCAGAUUAUACUCUCCUCACAGCAGUGGGAUUUCCUAACAGGGUUACAGGGCAUGUAGAACUUCAGAGCCCUCCUGAGACAAUUUGGGUUGUGUUAAAGCCUUUCCUGUGAACUAUUAAGUUUCAUCAGGCUACUAGCAGUGUUUAUGUGGAUGGAAGGGAAUGUGGUGGCUUCUUUCAGAUCACUUCCCUGGGAGGUGGAAAGUUGCGAGCAGCCUGCUCCAGCCAUGCCCCACUCACAGGGAUCAUUCCAGAGGAUUGGAGUGGAGCAGAUUUGGAGCUGCACAGCUCAGCUGAGACGCUGUGGGCUGCCAAAGGAGGAAGCAGUGACACUCAGUGGGUGGCGUCUCUGCAGACCCCUGGUCAUUUCCCCUUGGGGAAGGACAGGUUGAGACCCCCUGCGAUUGCCUCUCUCUUCCUGAAGCAUUCAGGUUUCAUCUGGAGGCCCGUAUUUUGUGACUGCAGAGCCAAAGGCAUCCUGAAAACCCCUUCUGAAAUUCCAGAGCUGCCUCUACUAUUAUUGCCAUAACAGAGUUAUCUCCCCACCAUGAGCAGAGACAGCAGGUGGUUCUGCUUUUAUGUAGAUGUGAAAAAGGAAGGCAGGAAACAUUAAUUGAGGGUUCAAGCAAAAAGGUGUCCACUAAACUUCCAUUUCAGUGAUGCACCAAUUUGCAAUGCUCUGUAAGCAGCUGGAAACACCUUUCAGCUCCUCCUGGUCCAGGCACCACCACACUCCAAGCACACAGGUAAACCUGCUCAUUACAAGUACCCACGGUGCUCUGCAGAGGAAUAUGCUGCUUAUCCAGGCCCUGGCUUUCAUUUCAACAAGGGAUCUUAUUGUUGCACUUGAUCUUGGUGCCUGUUGCACAAACAAAUGCUUUAAAUGGCCCUUCACUGAAACACGAAGAAGUACCGAUCGAAAAAGAAAGCUAAGGAAAAAUACAGCUUCCUCUGGAUUCUGAAGGUUUGAUUGAAGAUAAGAUCUGGGGCAAACUUAAUGGUCAAACUGGAGUGCUGUCAAAGACACAGAUUUAAUCCUGGGAGUGAUGUGGGAGUUCCUUGGUCAGACAAGGUUUCAGCUCAGUGUGACUCCAGCUGGGGUUGGCAGAGCUGCCAGGAGAGCCAUCAGUGCCUUCAGGCUAUGGGAGAAAGUAUUUAAACAACAACUCACUUACACAAAGAAUCCCAGGAUCCCUUCUUCCUUAAAUAUCCUGCCAAUGGCACUGAACACACCGCUGCCAAGAAAGGAAAAGAGCUGUGAGUGUGCAGAGUUGUUUCACCUCUGUCCUGUGCAACUUCACACACAUCCUGCAGCCCUCAGCAAUGGCAGUGCCUCCCCAGCCAUCAUUCCAGCAGAAGGCAGCUUGUUCUGCUUAUUCUCCUCAGACCAGGCAGAUCUGAGGGAAGGAAGGUCAUGUCUGUACUCUGCCAGUCUGCAGUGACACCUGGGAAAACACCCAACCUGCACACAACUGUUCAAUGCUGAAGGAGCACCUGGCACCCCUGACCCCAGACCCUUCCAAGCUGCAGCCACUCACCUGUAUUUGACUUCCCGGCCUACGAACUGGACCAUGCAGCGCAUGGAGAUCACUGGGAGGAAAGAAACACAGGGCUGAUACAGAAACAAAUCCAGUUUGGGUUGUAAUGGAUGUGAAAGAAAAUGAAACAUGACUCUUCUGCUCUCCCUCAACUCACAGCAUCUCCAGCUCCUCUCAGUGUGGUCAUCAGCACUGCAAGACUCAUUAGAAACUGGGGCCUUUCCUGAGCCUGUAAGUGGUGGGAAGGAUUUCAGAGGAUCACAGAGGUAUGGGUUGGAAGGGACCUGAUAGAUCAUCUUUUUCCAAACCCCCUGGCAUGGGCAGGGACACCUUCCACUCUCCCAGCCUGCUCCACCCUGGCCUUAAACACUUCCAGGGAUGGAGCGGCCACAGCUUCUCUGAGCAACCUGUGUUGGGGCAUCACCACCCUCACAAGGAAGGAUUUCUUCCCAAUAUCCCAUCUCACCCAGCUCUCUGGCAGAGGGAAGCCAUUCCCUGUGUCCUGUCUCUCCAUUCCCUCAUCCAAAGUCCCUCUCCAGCUCUCUUGGAGCCCCUUUAGGCACUGGAAGGGUGCUACUGGCCCUAACCCCAAUGGGAUUUCUAGGACAAGGUCCUGGAUGAGUGGGAAGAGAGAAACUUGUUGCUCAGCUGUGUUAGUGCCUGAAGGAAAAACCCAGCAUCAGCCUUGUAUGAUGGAGGAGUUUCAGAAGUAUCGUGCCCUGAGUAAGCAGGGUUUGGGGUGAUCCCCAGUCUGGAGGGGCUGCCAGCCAAGGGGACAGGACUCACCAUGCAGCGGGUGUGAGACAACCCGGGACACACACUGCAUCAUCAUCUCAUGGGAUGUCUGCCAAGGGAGGAGAAAACACCUGUGAGAAAAGCUGUGCUGCUCCUCCUGCACAGCCCAGGCCUUUCCCUCACUGUGGGGAAACCCAUUUUGGGUCCCUCUUUUGAGAUGUGAAUUGAGAUGUGAAUUAUUUCAUGGAUGGACACAGAACGGCUUCUUCAAACUUCUCACCCCAGUUUCUCUCCAAGUAACCUCACCCACAUCCCCAGGGACCUCUCCAACCACUUAUUAAUGGACAAUAUCCACUUCUCACCUCUCUGACCACUUUCCUAAGUGAAGUUUUCAUAUCAUCCUUGUUAGACACAUGCUCCAUGUCCUCCAGUGGAAAAGCCUGAGUGGAGAGGGAAGAAACAUGGUCAGAACUGAUGGAGAUGCUGACCCACAAUGUCUGAGGACAGAAGGAAACCAUGAAAAGCCACUUGAUCAAGAUAAACAGGCAACAAAGAACACAGGAGAAGAAAGGAUGGAAAGUAAAAUAGAGGAAUAGAGGAGUCACAAAACUGCUGACAGAGGAUACAAGGCAAGGGGAUGCCAAGUUAAAUUAAAAUUGUUUAUAAAUAAAAAAAUGCUUUGGGGAUAAGGGCACAGGAGGACUAUUCACUUAGGAGAUGGAGAGGGAUGGGUGCAUCAGUGCACCUGAUCCAGUCCCUGGCUGGCUGCAGGCACUUGCUGCAGUAGCAGUGACCCUGCAGGUGAUUAAUGGAGAGAGAAGCCGACCUUUACCUUCUUCACACUCCCCCUGGUGAUGGUUGAUAAAGUGCUUGAGAUGAGGCGAGGAGUCAGGCCACGGAAGAGGCCUCUUUUCCCAUCCACUUCCACAAUGUGUCUGGCUGGGUGGGACAACACCAGGCUGCUGUCAGUUGGGAAGGGGACAAUGCAUGGAGAGCACCCCAAACUGCCCCAGGACUCAGCCAAAAACAUGCCAGGCUCAGCUCAGCACAGCAGCCACUCCAUGGCCCCACAGGAAGUGUUUUAUUGUAACAGUCCUAAAUAAACUUCAUACUGGAGGACAAGAA